rnacentral:rRNA from 1 species
CACAUGCAAGUCGAACGGUAACCGGUUAAGCUGACGAGUGGCGAACGGGUGAGUAAUAUAUCGGAACGUGCCCAGUCGUGGGGGAUAACGCAGCGAAAGCUGUGCUAAUACCGCAUACGAUCUACGGAUGAAAGCGGGGGAUCGCAAGACCUCGCGCGAUUGGAGCGGCCGAUAUCAGAUUAGCUAGUUGGUGGGGUAAAAGCCCACCAAGGCGACGAUCUGUAGCUGGUCUGAGAGGACGACCAGCCACACUGGAACUGAGACACGGCCCAGACUCCUACGGGAGGCAGCAGUGGGGAAUAUUGGGCAAUGGAGGAAACUCUGACCCAGCGACGCCGCGUGCGGGAUGAAGGCCUUCGGGUUGUAAACCGCUUUCAGUAGGGAAGAAGCGAAAGUGACGGUACCUGCAAAAGAAGCACCGGCUAACUAUGUGCCAGCAGCCGCGGUAAUACAUAGGGGUGCAAGCGUUGUCCGGAAUUAUUGGGCGUAAAGAGCUCGUAGGUCGUUAAUUACGUCGGGUGUGAAAAUCUGGGGCUCAACCCCAGACCUGCAUUCGAUACGGGCGAGCUUGGAGUAUGGUAGGGGAGUCUGGAANUNCUGGGUGUAGCGGUGGAAUGCGCAGAUAUCAGGAGGAACACCNAUGGCGAAGGCAGGACUCUGGGCCAUUACUGACACUGAGGAGCGAAAGCGUGGGGAGCGAACAGGAUUAGAUACCCUGGUAGUCACGCCGUAAACGGUGGGCACUAGUUGUGGGGACNUUCCACGGUCUCUGCGACGCAGCUAACGCAUUAAGUGCCCCGCCUGGGGAGUACGAUCGCAAGAUUAAAACUCAAAGGAAUUGACGGGGGUCCGCACAAGCGGAGGAGUAUGUGGUUUAAUUCGAUGAUACGCGAGGAACCUUACCUGGGCUAGAAUGCUGGGAGACCGUGGGUGAAAGCUCACUUUGUAGCAAUACACUGCCAGUAAGGUGCUGCAUGGCUGUCGUCAGCUCGUGCCGUGAGGUGUUGGGUUAAGUCCCGCAACGAGCGCAACCCCUAUCAUUAGUUGCCAACAGGUUAAGCUGGGAACUCUAAUGAAACUGCCGCCGUAAGGUGUGAGGAAGGAGGGGAUGAUGUCAAGUCAUCAUGGCCUUUAUGCCCAGGGCUACACACGUACUACAAUGGGGGAGACAAAGGGCUGCAACAUAGCGAUAUGAAGCCAAUCCCAAAAACUCCCUCUCAGUUCAGAUUGCAGGCUGCAACUCGCCUGCAUGAAGCUGGAUUCGCUAGUAAUCGUAUAUCAGCAAUGAUACGGUGAAUACGUUCCCGGACCUUGCACACACCGCCCGUCAAGCCAUGGGAGUCGGGUGUACCUAAAGUCGGUAACCGUAAGGAGCUGCCUAGGAUAAAAUCGAUGACUGGGGCUAAGUCGUAACAAGGUAGCCG